CUCUCCAGUGGCCUCAUAGGAUAGUAAAGUCUCCAGUCCAUGCACACUUCAGAAUCCCGACAGAAGUAGUAUAGGUCAUCCUACAAAGUAGGUAUUUUUCAUCUACUAUCUUAUGAAUGCUAUGAUUUCUGACAUACUUAUCUCACAUGUUCUUGUCUGCUAUAUUGUGUGGAAGCAGGCAUAUUCAGACACAGGGAUUCAAUCAGGAAUUUGGCAGCACUAGUUAUGCUGUAUGUUUGACUCAUCAAAAAGAACCAGCUCUUAUAAGUGUAAUUCGUUCAGAAAUUGGUUCUGAUUAAGAAAGGUAAAGGUAAUUUUUUUUAAUAAUACUACUCAUCUACUCUCCACUACUCAAAAUAAUCCAUAAUACUACUCAUCCACCUUCUCGCAAUUCAAACGCUGACUUUUAUUAAUCUGAGUGAAGUUCUGUGAGCAUCUCUGUCCCUGAAUGAAUUACCCACAUGCUCCUUGAAUCCUGUGUAUUGGUAUUAUCAGUUUGUCAUAGGUCAUGCUUCCUGAUGCUAUUUUGAGAUGCUGUCAACAAGUGUUGUUCUACAUCCUGUGGUGGAAAAAGUCUGAUGAUGACUAUAGUUAACGCUGAGCAGCUUAUUGAGUUUCCCCCAGGAAACCUCCCCCGUGAAUCACUAAAAGCUGUGCUGAAGGCAGUCACUGUGGAGACUUCAAUUACUGGCGUGUCCCAGUCGGCUGAUUUCUAACUGUGGCCAGCAAAUUAGAAAAAGGUGGAGGGAGAGAGAGAGAGAGUAAGAAAAACUUAAAAAAUCAUUUGGAGAAGGAUGGUUUGAAAUUUGGAUACAGACGAAUGACAGGAUACUGAAGGGGACCAGUCACAAGAGUAUUACCAAGUAAAAUGUUUCUGGUAAAAAGUGGAGAGGCAACCUUUUGUUCACAUGUUGGCUACAGGCCAGACUUCUGCACUAUAGGAUUCAGUUCAUAAUCCUGUGUAUGACUGAUUUAUGGCUCACAUUAUCAACUGUUGACUAAACGUCCCCAACUGAGUCUUUUUCCUAUGUAGAGAGAGGUCUGUGAAAAUACAGACUAAAAUGUCCUACAUAUUUUCUAAUUUAGGGCAGCACACUUCAUCAUCAGUGUAAUUGUGUGGUUUUUAAAGAUGAUUAGGGAGGGUUCAUUGUGGCAGUAGGUUAUUAGGCCUUCACAAUAACUGUACAUGCAGCAGUCUGGCCAGAAUGGGCUUGUUCACAGAUAUGUAGGCAUGUAGAAGAUCAUGUGUUAAAUUCUAUCUGUGAAGAAGAAAAUGUACCAUGGUUUCCACAAAAAUAUUAAGUAUACUAUAGCACAACUGAUUUCAGCAGUGAUAAUAAGAAAUUUUGCUUGAGCAGCAAAUCAGCAUAUUAGAAGGAUUUCUGAAGGAUCAUGUGACACUGAAAACUGGAGUAAUGAUGCUGAAAAUUCAGCUUUGCCAUCACAGGAAUUACAUUUUAAAAUAUAUUCACAUAGAAAACAGUUAUUAAAAUAUUUCACAAUAUUUAUUUUACUGUAUUUUUGAUCAAAUAUCUACCAAUAUAUCUUGGUAAGCUAAAUAUACUAAAUAUAAAUACUUUGGAUGUUAAAUGUGUUCUCAGAGCUGUUCACUGUUUGUUGGGCAGGUUAUGGAGUCAAUCACAGCAUAUUUCGGUUAUCAAUGAAAUGCAGGGCGGCAGUCUGAAGUUGGCAGUUCCUCCGCCGACCCUGAUUCCAGCUCCGACAUGAGAGUUGGCACCGUUACGGUGGAAACCGGUGGAAACCGGUGGAAACGGGAUAACAGACUGGUCGAUUACAUAAGAAAGAAAGUCACGCUGGUUUGGAACGACAUAAUGACAUCACAGAGGAGACCGAUGUGACGGCUGUUUCAGAAGAUCAGAGAGUGAGAAGCCCAAAACGCUGCUCCACAAGCUCCAAAGCUCAACGGGGAGCUCCUCAUAUGUCUACAUGAAAAACCAAGUUUGGCUGG